rnacentral:rRNA from 1 species
UACAGAGGUGGCAAGCGUUUGUUCGGAGUUACUGGGCGUAAAGGGCGCGUAGGCGGUUCGUUAAGUCCUGUGUGAAAUCCCCCGGCUCAACUGGGGAACUGCACAGGAAACUAGCGGGCUUGAGUUCGGGAGAGGGAAGCGGAAUUCCGGGUGAGCGGUGAAAUGCGUAGAUAUCCGGAGGAACACCGGUGGCGAAGGCGGCUCCUGGACCGACACUGACGCUGAGCGCGAAAGCUAGGGGAGCAAACGGG